rnacentral:rRNA from 5 species
UAAUUAGAGUUUGAUCCUAGCUCAGGAUGAACGCUGGCGGCGUGGAUAAGGCAUGCAAGUCGAGUGGGUUUAGACCCACGGCAGACGAGGUAGUAAUACGUAGGUACGUACCCCAAAGUCGGGCAUACUCCAUCGAAAGAUGGAAUAAUUCCCGAUGGUUUCCGCUUUUAGCGGAAUAAAGAUUUAUCGCUUUGGGAACGGCCUGCGGGAUAUCAGCUUGUUGGCAGUGUAAUGGACUACCAAGGCUAUGACGUCUAGGGGAGGUGAGAGCCUGACCCCCACCGAUGGCACUGAGACACGGGCCAUACUCCUACGGGAGGCUGCAGUCGAGAAUCUUCCGCAAUGGGCGCAAGCCUGACGGAGCGACGCCGCGUGGUUGAUGAAGUUCUUAGGAAUGUAAAGAUCUUUUACCGGGGAGGAAGUUUAUUGACGUUACCCGGUGAAUAAGGGGUUGCUAAACUCGUGCCAGCAGCAGCGGUAAUACGAGUGCCCCAAGCGUUAUCCGGAAUCAUUGGGCGUAAAGGGUGCGUAGGCGGUCAUGUUAGUCUUUUGUUAAAGGCUUCGGCUCAACCGAAGAUUCGCAAAAGAAACGGCAUGACUCGAGGAUGUGAGAGGUGUACGGAACUCACGGUGUAGGGGUGAAAUCCGUUGAUAUCGUGGGGAACACCAAAGGCGAAGGCAGUACACUGGCGCAUUCCUGACGCUGAGGCACGAAAGCGUGGGUAGCGAAUGGGAUUAGAUACCCCAGUAGUCCACGCCCUAAACUAUGUCCGCUAGCUCUUCGGAGUAUCGACCCUCUGAGAAGCGAAGCUAACGCGUUAAGCGGACCGCCUGGGAAGUACGGCCGCAAGGCUAAAACUCAAAGGAAUAGACGGGGACUUGCACAAGCGGUGGAUCACGUGGCUUAAUUCGUAGGUAAGCGAAGAACCUUACCAGGGCUUGAAACUCUGACGAAAUCCCGAUGAAAGUCGGGACCUCUCACAAGGACGGCAGAACAGGUGAUGCAUGGCCGUCGUCAGUUCGUGGUUUGAAUUGUUCCCUUAAGUGGGGUAACGAACGCAACCCCCGUCGUCUGUUAUAUGUGUCAGGCGAGACUGCCCCCGCCUAAGUUUUCAACUUCGUGUUGAAGGUUUAGGCGGGGGAGGAAGGAGGGGAUGACGCCAGGUCAGCAUGUCCUUUUGAUGCUCUGGGCUGCACGCAUGAUACAAUGGCCGUUACAACGGGUUGCGACGACGAAAGUCCGAGCUAAUCCUUCAAAAGCGGCCUAAGUUCGGAUUGAGGUCUGAAACUCGACCUCAUGAAGUUGGAAUCGCUAGUAAUCGCAGGUCAGCAACACUGUGGUGAAUACGUUCUCAAGUCUUGUACUCACUGCCCGUCAAGUCAAGGAAGCCGAGAGUACCCGACGUCCCCGCUUUAGCGGGGCCUAAGGUAAGAUUGGUGACAGGGACUAAGUCGUAACAAGGCACGGCUAGCGGAAGCUG